UUUUCUGAGCAUCAAUCAUCA
ensembl:piRNA 21ur-3050 ncRNA